CAGCCGCCACGGUAAUACGUAGGUGGCAAGCGUUGUCCGGAAUUAUUGGGCGUAAAGGGCUCGCAGGCGGUUUCUUAAGUCUGAUGUGAAAGCCCCCGGCUCAACCGGGGAGGGUCAUUGGAAACUGGGAAACUUGAGUGCAGAAGAGGAGAGUGGAAUUCCACGUGUAGCGGUGAAAUGCGUAGAGAUGUGGAGGAACACCAGUGGCGAAGGCGACCCUCUGGUCUGUAACUGACGCUGAGGAGCGAAAGCGUGGGGAGCGAACAGGAUUAGAUACCCCUGUAGUCCCUGUCUCUUAUAC
rnacentral:rRNA from 1 species